ACUUUAUAAAAAUAAGCUACAUGAGUUUGGAGUAGAGGGGUCAAAGACAAUAAGGAAUUUGUUAUCAUUUACAAGUAUAAUAUUUGCUUUUAAUUUUUCUAUGUUUAUUUGGAACAAUGUUUUGCUUGUUUUUCAGUAAUAUAUCUUAUUUUUAAUCUCUCUAUAUAUUUUUCAACAAUAAACUCAAAUAAUUAACAAAAUAAAAGGAAAACAAAAAGAAAAUAAUUUUUGUUAACUUUGAUAGGUAAUGAUAUUAUAAAAUUCGAUAAGGCAUAUGAUGAAAAUAAUGUACAAGAGUUUGUGAAAUUGUGUUCUUCUAACUGCGAGGUAAAGAUAAUAAAAAUAGGAAUAUACACACACAUACACAUGUUCAUAUACAUAAAUAUAUGUGUACCAAAUAUACUUUCCCGUUGCUUUUGUUAUACGCUUUUGUUACACGGUUUUGUUAUAUGCUGUUAUUACAGAUAUAUACAAAUGAUUGAUAUGUUAAUUUUUAUUUUGUUAAAUCAGAUUGAAAAGCUAGAAGAUAGAAUGCAUCCUUGGGCUGCCGACCCCAAAACAAUUGGAGCAUUAGCAGCAACUCAAUUAGCAAUAUUAGCUAGUAAAGAAAAUGAGCCACAUUAUAAAGAUGCAAUACGUGAAGCAAAUGGAAUACCUGUUUUUAUUAAUUUGUUAAAAUCACAUGAAUUGGAUAGAGUACACGCAGCUGUUGUUGCGUUAUCAUUUUUAUCAGUCGAUAACGUGAAAAAUUGUAUAUGUAUGUUUGAAAAUGGUAUCUUACCUUAUUUGAUUAGCGGAAUGAAAUCGGAUAUAAAUGGAAUGAAAGCCGCUUGUGCACAAACAUGUAGAAAUAUAUUUGUUUUGGGUGAGUAAAAAGAAGUGUGGACACAAUUUUGUAUGUAUGUAUGUAUGUAUGUAUAUGUGC
rnacentral:lncRNA from 1 species